AUUAAGAUUUUUUUUUUUAUUUUGAUGAAUAUACUGAACUAUAAAAUGUUGGACUGUAGGUUAUGAUGAAAUAUUAAGUAGAUGUUCGUACACAGUGCUGUUUGCUUGGGCUUCUGGCUUUGAAGAUAGUGUGGGACUUUGUUAUCUCACCAGCAGAUGGCAGUGAUGCACUGAUAACUGAGUGUGGUUUGACAGAAAUGGAAAAAGAAGAAACAAGAACAUAACGUGUUAUACAUGCUCUUGUCCUGUCUUGUCUAUCAUUACAAUUACCUAAUUAAAUUAAGGUCCGUGAACUUCUCUGCAUAAUGGAGCCCGUCAUAAAAAUUAACCAAGGGGAAACGAAAUGGGAUGUGCGUCAUAAAGUAUGGAACUACAUUGAGGUGAAAAACCUUGCCAAUUUUCCACGGCCUGUGCACAACAGAAUUCCCAACUUCAAGGGUGCACUGGAGGCAUGUAAUAAGGUAGCACAAUUAGAGAUCUUCAUCGAAAGUGCUGUAGUCAAGGUGGAUCCUGACAAACCAAUGGAGGGGGUUCGGUUAGCUGCUCUGAAGGCAAGAAAAUCCUUACUUGUUCCAACACCUCGUCUAAGAUUUGGGUUAUUUAACAGAAUAACUCCACCAAAAGGUGCAACUAAAGAAACACUGCGUGUUUGUUCUACUUCUCAGGGUAUCAAAGAGUUCAGUGUCCCUGUUGGUUUAGAUGACAAAGUUCAGGUGGAUCUUGUCGUAGUUGGGUCUGUGGCUGUAUCUGAAAAAGGUGAUGGACAUUCCAGAGGAACUCAUUGAAAGACAUGACCUCAUGGUUGACUUUAUUAUAACAGCAACAAGAGUCAUCAAGACUGAAUGUAAACACCCUAAACCACAAGGCAUCAUUUGGUCUAUGUUACACAAAGAAGAACUGAAGAAAAUACCCAUUCUGAAGAAACUAAGAACACUGGAGCAGGAAGCUGGAAAAGAUGUUGCUUUGAAAUUAAUACAUGCUGGAGAGGAUGAAUAUAGGAAAUCCAAAGAGCUACAAUGGCAAUCUCAUCCUAAAGCUGACUUGGAAUUUAAAUGUUUAGCUUCGAAUUCUGACAGGUGUUCUGGAUUUGAACCCAAAUUUCCUACCACCACUGUAUACCUGAGUGACAUUCCUCCUGCAUUACGUGUAAGUGAGUUGAAGGGCCUGCUCAGAGAACAGGAAGUUGUUCCUUUGCAAAUCAGAUGGCAGGGGGCAAAGCGCAAAGCUUUCCUGCUAUAUGCCGAUUUCACUGGAGCAGAACGAGCUACCGCCAUUCUUCAAAAACUCUUCAUAAAUGGCCACACCAUACAAGCCAAGUGUGUCAGUAGUCAGAAAAUGUAGUGUAUUUAAUACACCUUUCUGAAAUGUAGACCUUCGUAAUAAUAAAAUUGUUAAAAAUAAUUAAACAUUGUGUAUGAUUUCUAAGGGUUAAGUAGAUCUGAGCUGUAAAGAAAUAUAAUAUUCUUUAAAUAAAUUCUUGCAUCGA